rnacentral:lncRNA from 1 species
UAUUGCCAAAGGCAGGCACUGGAAGUAGGGGUGGGAGUGUGGGGGGAAGAAGCAGAGAGUGUUCUCUGGCCCCCUGGAGUGUGUUUGUGUGUUAGCUUGUACAUGUGGCUUCUUUAGAGUGCUUCCUUAACCCUAGCACCCACCUAGGCCUCCUUCCCCUCCAACUUCCCCUCCUCUCCCACUCCCCAACCUGGAAACUGGAUAAACACACUGGGCCGCCUCACCAUGCAUCCAUUCUACAGUAUCUGAAAUGCAGGACAUGCAGGCGUAAAAGAGAAAAGGCGAACCAUGUAAACGAGGUGCUGCAGAGAACUGAGGGGAGCUCUGGAGAGACCUCCCUGGGACAGGAGGGAAGUGGGUGUAUCCCUCAUCUCACCGCAGCUCUGGCUCUCCCUGACCUGGGAUGCAUUGCUGGGCUAACCCUCUGGGCCCUGGACACCGGAGGUGGGGAAGGGUAUCCUCUUUUUUGAGCCCACCCCUGGCAGGGGUGGAGAGGGAUGGGAGGAAGCCCUGCCCACUUUGGCCAGUGGGACCCUAGUCUGUCUCCUAAUCCUGUCACACCCAACUUCUCAAUGUCUCAAAAAUGGGUAUCUUAGCUUUUGUUCUUCCAAUUUGUAGGAUCCAAGUCCUCAUUUUCUGGGAAGGGAUCCCAGGAGACAUAGAAUUUCCUAUCCACUAUUGAGGCAAGGGAGCUUGGCGGGGGAGAGGAAUGGUUUGAUUGCUUCCCCAUCUCCCCUAGGUUUCUUCUUUCCAAGUGCCAAAAUUAGGUUCCAAGAAGGAUGAGUAUAAGACCACCUCGGAAUCUUUUCUCUGGUUCUUUUCACUGUGGCUAGUUCCUGUUUCUCUUUGUGCCUAGUCUAGGGGUAGGGUGGGCAUCAUCUCUGAGUGGAACGGGGAAGGAAAGGGGGAGGCAAGAUGGUGGGGUUGGGGUGGCCAGAGCCGAUCACUAACCUGUUGGACAACGGAGGUGGCUACAGCCUUCUCUCCAGGAGCUCCAUAUUAGCGUACAGCAAAAAGGCACCACAUAUAGGUUUCUAUUAAAUAGUCAAAAAAUUGGCCCAUCUCUCCUUUUUUUUUUGUUUCUUUUUUUUUUCCGAAGCUGUAAAUCAAGAUGUUACAUAUAAAUAGAGUUUCCUAUAAAAAAGUCUUUGCUAUUAGCUAUUAUAAGAC